CGGGGUGUGGCGCAGUUGGCAGCGCGCGUCGUUCGGGACGACGAGGCCGGAAGUUCGAGUCUUCUCACCCCGACAA
rnacentral:tRNA from 5 species